GGGCGUGUGGUCUAGGGGUAUGACAUCUGCUUAGCAUGCUGAAGGUCCCGGGUUCAAUUCCCGGCGUGUCCA
rnacentral:tRNA from 3 species